CCUACGGGAGGCAGCAGCAAGGAAUUUUCGGCAAUGGGCGCAAGCCUGACCGAGCAACGCCGCGUGGAGGAUGACGGCCUUCGGGUUGUAAACUCCUUUUCCAGGGGAUGAUGAUGACCGUACCCUGGGAAUCAGGCUCGGCUAACUCUGUGCCAGCAGCCGCGGUAAU
rnacentral:rRNA from 1 species